UAUACUGACAUGCUUUUUCUCUGUUCUAACCAGCGGUGAGGCAGCUGAAGGAAGCUGUGGACUCAUCCAUUAACAAGCUGUCCAACUUUGACGAAGUCAUUGAUGCACAUCUUCAGAAUAACCAGACGACCGUGGACAACAGCUUGGCCAGUCCAGACAGGCUUAAAG